rnacentral:rRNA from 1 species
AUACGGAGGAUGCAAGCGUUAUCCGGAUUUAUUGGGUUUAAAGGGUGCGUAGGCGGUUUGCUAAGCGGGAGGUGAAAUGCCGGCGCUCAACGUCGGAAGUGCCUCCCGAACUGGUGGACUGGAAUGACUCUGCCGUGGGAGGAAUGUGUAGUGUAGCGGUGAAAUGCUUAGAGAUUACACAGAACACCGAUUGCGAAGGCAUCUCACGAAGGGUUGAUUGACGCUGAGGCACGAAAGCGUGGGGAUCAAACAGGAUUAGAUACCCUGGUAGUCCACGCAGUAAACGAUGAUGGCUAACCGCUGGUUUAUUCGGAUCAGUGGCCAAGCGAAAGCGAUAAGCCAUCCACCUGGGGAGUACGACCGCAAGGUUGAAACUUAAAGGAAUUGGCGGGG